UGCGAAGGGGGCUAGCGUUGCUCGGAAUCACUGGGCGUAAAGGGUGCGUAGGCGGGUCUUUUAAGUCAGGGGUGAAAUCCUGGAGCUCAACUCCAGAACUGCCUUUGAUACUGAAGAUCUUGAGUUCGGGAGAGGUGAGUGGAACUGCGAGUGUAGAGGUGAAAUUCGUAGAUAUUCGCAAGAACACCAGUGGCGAAGGCGGCUCACUGGCCCGAUACUGACGCUGAGGCACGAAAGCGUGGGGAGCAAACAGG
rnacentral:rRNA from 1 species